rnacentral:lncRNA from 1 species
UUGUGUUGGCAGGAAUGUAUGCUGGAUCCUUUUCCGUGUCCGUGUCCUCAUCGUUUAACCUGAAGCUAGGGGCACCAGAUUUUGACUUGCCCUGUUUUGAGUAGGUGACUAGCUUCUUGGGUGCCAUCGUACCUGUGGAAGCGAUAUUAGUGCCAAAACUAACCAUAAACACACUAAAAAAAAAUUAGAACUAUAAACGAAUAGUAACAACGU